rnacentral:rRNA from 1 species
GAUUCUGGCUCAGGACGAACGCUGGCGGCGCGCCUAACACAUGCAAGUCGAACGGAGCUUAGAGAGCUUGCUUUUUAAGCUUAGUGGCGAACGGGUGAGUAACGCGUGAGUAACCUGCCCUAGAGUGGGGGACAACAGUUGGAAACGACUGCUAAUACCGCAUAAGCCCACGGUACCGCAUGGCACUGAGGGAAAAGGAUUUAUUCGCUUUAGGAUGGACUCGCGUCCAAUUAGCUAGUUGGUGAGGUAACGGCCCACCAAGGCGACGAUUGGUAGCCGGACUGAGAGGUUGAACGGCCACAUUGGGACUGAGACACGGCCCAGACUCCUACGGGAGGCAGCAGUGGGGGAUAUUGCACAAUGGGGGAAACCCUGAUGCAGCGACGCCGCGUGGAGGAAGAAGGUUUUCGGAUUGUAAACUCCUGUCGUUAGGGACGAUAAUGACGGUACCUAACAAGAAAGCACCGGCUAACUACGUGCCAGCAGCCGCGGUAAAACGUAGGGUGCAAGCGUUGUCCGGAAUUACUGGGUGUAAAGGGAGCGCAGGCGGGAAGACAAGUUGGAAGUGAAAACCAUGGGCUCAACCCAUGAAUUGCUUUCAAAACUGUUUUUCUUGAGUAGUGCAGAGGUAGAUGGAAUUCCCGGUGUAGCGGUGGAAUGCGUAGAUAUCGGGAGGAACACCAGUGGCGAAGGCGGUCUACUGGGCACCAACUGACGCUGAGGCUCGAAAGCAUGGGUAGCAAACAGGAUUAGAUACCCUGGUAGUCCAUGCCGUAAACGAUGAUUACUAGGUGUUGGGGGAUUGACCCCCUCAGUGCCGCAGUUAACACAAUAAGUAAUCCACCUGGGGAGUACGACCGCAAGGUUGCAACUCAAAUGAAUUGACGGA